rnacentral:tRNA from 2 species
GGGGGCGGAUCGGGUCUGGUGGCCCGAACGGUCUUCAAAACCGUCUCGGCCGGCGACCCCGGCUGGGUGGGUUCGAUUCCCACACGCUCCCGCCA